rnacentral:ribozyme from 1 species
GGUAAUGUACUGACACAGUACUGGCGUGGAUCCGAGGCAUCUCGAAGGAUAAAGUAGGCAUUCCACACCAUAGUCUUACUCAAUACGUAACAAUACGGUUACAUGUCUUUUCAAAUAUCUGAGCUUGGGUAUCCGGGGAGGAGGAACCCUUGGGAAGCUGGGUGAUAUGUCUAAAUUAACAGGG